ACUUGUAAUUCUACAUUUGUGGAGGAUGACCAUCGCACUUGGGACACUUUUAUUCCCAAGGUACAGUUCGCUAUUAACAAUUCGGUGAAUGAAGCAACUGGUUUUACCCCUUCAUUUUUAGUAUUCGGAAGAGAGUUAGUCACCUGUGGUACACACUACGUUGAUAACGACCUGGGAGACGAAGUUUUAUUUUUACCCAGAGAUUUGUAUGCUGACAAUUUGGGUUGCCUUUCCAACUUAUUUGGAGUCGUUCAGGCAAAACUCUGGCAUGCACACCUCAAAAACUCGUCACAUUAUAAUCUUCGUAGAAAAGCCUCUGAAUUUAACGUAGGGGAUAUAGUUAUGAAACGAGCUUACGUUUUAAGUGACAAGGACAAAUAUUUUAGUAAAAAGUUAGCACCAAAAUUUAUUAAAUGUCGUGUUUUGGAAAAAAAAUCUCCCUUAGUAUAUGUUUUAGCAGAUAUGUCAGGAAAGAAUCUAGGUACCUGGCAUAUCAAAGAUUUAAAAUUAAUUGGAUUAAAUAAAUAAUUUAGUUUUUUUUUUUUUUUUUUUUUUUUACUCAAGAGGAUUUUAUUUUAAUAAUAAAAUCCUUUCGUAGCGAGGGGGGUAUUGUAACGUUGUAUAUAUAUAUUGUAACGUUAUUUUACAUAAAAUAAUGAAAUAAAAAUAAACUAAUAACAUAAAAUAAUGAAAUAAAAAUAAACUAAUAACAUAAAAUAAUAAAACUAAUAAAUAUUAAAACGUAAACACUUUUGUGCGCGAGCGUAGGCGAGUUUUUUGCUGUUCAUAAAAAAUGCAUGGCUCGCUCGCGUCACCCGUCGCCCGGCUAUCGCCAUACCACGGCUGCGCUCGGUAAUAGCAACACGUCAAUAUAUUAUGUGCAGUGACUUAUCACGUUUGCCGUAAAAUACCUAGUUAUAUAAUUUUUUUAAUCACCGGUUGACAACUUAACAUAAUAUAAAAAUAAGUUUCAAGGAUUAUCGUCACCCCGAUAGGGGUUCCAGGAUAAGAUUUUGGAACGUUAAAAGAUAUAAUUCCACCAAGUUCCGGUGAUUAGUUACCCGGACACCGAGUAUCGGGAAUCACCUGCGACACGUCGAGUCAUAACCUCCAGCUGAGGGGCCUGCACCGGCGUCUUCAACGUCAGGGGAGUACCGAGCUACAAGGACAAACUAGAUCAACCAACAAUACACCCUACGACCCUUGCUCAAAUUGUAUUUUAAUUAUUUUUAAAUAUACAUCAUUUAAAGGCCGG